rfam:Solanum tuberosum cultivar DM 1-3 516 R44 scf00172_13, whole genome shotgun sequence.
AACAACAAUGAUGAUUAAUUUUUUACAGUUACAGACCUGUAAUGAUUUGCGAAGAUGAUCGCAAUUAAUUGAACAUCUAAGGGACUGAGUUGUU